AGCGUACACGGUGGAUGCCCUGGCAGUCAGAGGCGAUGAAGGACGUGCUAAUCUGCGAAAAGCGUCGGUAAGGUGAUAUGAACCGUUAUAGCCGGCGAUGUCCGAAUGGGGAAACCCAGUGCAAUUCGUUGCACUAUCGUUAACUGAAUACAUAGGUUAACGAGGCGAACCGGGGGAACUGAAACAUCUAAGUACCCCGAGGAAAAGAAAUCAACCGAGAUUCCCCCAGUAGCGGCGAGCGAACGGGGAGCAGCCCAGAGUCUGAAUCAGCUUGUGUGUUAGUGGAACGGUCUGGAAAGUCCGACGGUACAGGGUGAUAGUCCCGUACACCAAAAUGCACAGGCUGUGAACUCGAAGAGUAGGGCGGGACACGUGGUAUCCUGUCUGAAUAUGGGGGGACCAUCCUCCAAGGCUAAAUACUCCUGACUGACCGAUAGUGAACCAGUACCGUGAGGGAAAGGCGAAAAGAACCCCGGCGAGGGGAGUGAAAAAGAACCUGAAACCGUGUACGUACAAGCAGUGGGAGCACCUUCGGGUGUGACUGCGUACCUUUUGUAUAAUGGGUCAGCGACUUAUAUUCUGUAGCAAGGUUAACCGUAUAGGGGAGCCGCAGGGAAACCGAGUCUUAACUGGGCGUUAAGUUGCAGGGUAUAGACCCGAAACCCGGUGAUCUAGCCAUGGGCAGGUUGAAGGUUGGGUAACACUAACUGGAGGACCGAACCGACUAAUGUUGAAAAAUUAGCGGAUGACUUGUGGCUGGGGGUGAAAGGCCAAUCAAACCGGGAGAUAGCUGGUUCUCCCCGAAAGCUAUUUAGGUAGCGCCUCGUGAAUUCAUCUUCGGGGGUAGAGCACUGUUUCGGCUAGGGGGUCAUCCCGACUUACCAACCCGAUGCAAACUACGAAUACCGAAGAAUGUUAUCACGGGAGACACACGGCGGGUGCUAACGUCCGUCGUGAAGAGGGAAACAACCCAGACCGCCAGCUAAGGUCCCAAAGUCAUGGUUAAGUGGGAAACGAUGUGGGAAGGCACAGACAGCCAGGAUGUUGGCUUAGAAGCAGCCAUCAUUUAAAGAAAGCGUAAUAGCUCACUGGUCGAGUCGGCCUGCGCGGAAGAUGUAACGGGGCUAAACCAUGCACCGAAGCUGCGGCAGCGACACUAUGUGUUGUUGGGUAGGGGAGCGUUCUGUAAGCCUGCGAAGGUGACCUGUGAGGGUUGCUGGAGGUAUCAGAAGUGCGAAUGCUGACAUAAGUAACGAUAAAGCGGGUGAAAAGCCCGCUCGCCGGAAGACCAAGGGUUCCUGUCCAACGUUAAUCGGGGCAGGGUGAGUCGACCCCUAAGGCGAGGCCGAAAGGCGUAGUCGAUGGGAAACAGGUUAAUAUUCCUGUACUUGGUGUUACUGCGAAGGGGGGACGGAGAAGGCUAUGUUAGCCGGGCGACGGUUGUCCCGGUUUAAGCAUGUAGGCUGGUUAUCCAGGCAAAUCCGGAUAAUCAAGGCUGAGGUGUGAUGACGAGGCACUACGGUGCUGAAGUAACAAAUGCCCUGCUUCCAGGAAAAGCCUCUAAGCAUCAGGUAACAUCAAAUCGUACCCCAAACCGACACAGGUGGUCAGGUAGAGAAUACCAAGGCGCUUGAGAGAACUCGGGUGAAGGAACUAGGCAAAAUGGUGCCGUAACUUCGGGAGAAGGCACGCUGGUGUGUAGGUGAAGUCCCUGCGGAUGGAGCUGAGACCAGUCGAAGAUACCAGCUGGCUGCAACUGUUUAUUAAAAACACAGCACUGUGCAAACACGAAAGUGGACGUAUACGGUGUGACGCCUGCCCGGUGCCGGAAGGUUAAUUGAUGGGGUUAUCCGUAAGGAGAAGCUCUUGAUCGAAGCCCCGGUAAACGGCGGCCGUAACUAUAACGGUCCUAAGGUAGCGAAAUUCCUUGUCGGGUAAGUUCCGACCUGCACGAAUGGCGUAAUGAUGGCCAGGCUGUCUCCACCCGAGACUCAGUGAAAUUGAACUCGCUGUGAAGAUGCAGUGUACCCGCGGCAAGACGGAAAGACCCCGUGAACCUUUACUAUAGCUUGACACUGAACAUUGAGCCUUGAUGUGUAGGAUAGGUGGGAGGCUUUGAAGCGUGGACGCCAGUCUGCGUGGAGCCAACCUUGAAAUACCACCCUUUAAUGUUUGAUGUUCUAACGUUGGCCCCUGACCGGGGUUGCGGACAGUGUCUGGUGGGUAGUUUGACUGGGGCGGUCUCCUCCCAAAGCGUAACGGAGGAGCACGAAGGUUAGCUAAUCCUGGUCGGACAUCAGGAGGUUAGUGCAAUGGCAUAAGCUAGCUUGACUGCGAGCGUGACGGCGCGAGCAGGUGCGAAAGCAGGUCAUAGUGAUCCGGUGGUUCUGAAUGGAAGGGCCAUCGCUCAACGGAUAAAAGGUACUCCGGGGAUAACAGGCUGAUACCGCCCAAGAGUUCAUAUCGACGGCGGUGUUUGGCACCUCGAUGUCGGCUCAUCACAUCCUGGGGCUGAAGUAGGUCCCAAGGGUAUGGCUGUUCGCCAUUUAAAGUGGUACGCGAGCUGGGUUUAGAACGUCGUGAGACAGUUCGGUCCCUAUCUGCCGUGGGCGCUGGAGAAUUGAGGGGGGCUGCUCCUAGUACGAGAGGACCGGAGUGGACGCAUCACUGGUGUUCGGGUUGUCAUGCCAAUGGCACUGCCCGGUAGCUAAAUGCGGAAGAGAUAAGUGCUGAAAGCAUCUAAGCACGAAACUUGCCCCGAGAUGAGUUCU
rnacentral:rRNA from 1 species